CCCACAUCACACACCACCAAACCCAGAAUUGUGUGCCCCACAAUUGCAGAAAUCCUCAUCUUCAUCACUGCCUUUCCAAUUCCAACAAUAUGUUUUUUAAUUUUCCCCAAUUAUGUCGCCUUUUUCGCCCUUUGCUUCUCUCAGUUUUUUUCUUUCCCACAUAGAAAAGAAAAGAACCAUCCCCCCCCCCCCCUCUCUCUCUCUUCACUCACUCUCUCUCUCUCUCUCUCUCUCUCUCUCUCUCUCUCUCUCUACAUCUAUAUCUUCCUAUUCUAUCUUUUCUUUCUCUUCAUACAAUGCCCCUUCUUUUCUCUCUUCCGUGUUCACAUCUAUCACCAUAUAUUCAUUUUCCUGUUUUUCACACUUAACCCUCUCGCCCAUCUCUCUCUGCCGUCGCAAGAUCACACCUUUUGAAAACGACCCUUCUUUGAUUUUUUUUAUCUAAUGUCAAAGAAGAUAAAAGGAGUGAUUUUGGAAGACGGUAGGGCUACGCUCAAGUAUCGGACUCUUAUGCAGGACUAUCACCACUUGCAAAAGGAAGUUGAUAUCAUGAGUAGCAGAUUAGAGGCAGGGAAACAGAAGAAGGUGGUUCUAGCAGCUGAAGUUCGGUUUCUGCGGAAAAGAUUUAGUUAGUUAGUUAAGACGGAGGCUAAGAAUUUUCUACGGAAAGAAAAACUAGAACAGUCUCCAAUUCUGCAUAAGCAAAUUAAACAGACUGAGAAACGUGGUAGAAAAGAAUCCACUCUUCGUAUUUUACCCCCGAUUGCAGAAGUUAGAGCGAAGAAGAAACAGUAUGUUAGUAAAGAAGUUGCUUUACGUGGUACAUAUCCACUCAGGAAGCAUCAUAGGAAAAUGUUAGAUGGUGGAAUAGACUCCAGGAAAGUCACGAGUCCAUUUUUUGACUUGAACACGAAAGGAAGAAUUUCUGAAAAUGAUACAGCAGUUUCGAGCAAUGUAUUCACAGCUUUUGAUUUGAAGCAAGAUGGUAGUUAUAGCAGAAGAGAACCACCAUUGCCCAGCCGAGCACUUAUCUUUGACUUGAAUGAAAUCUCGGUGAUGAGGAUUUCCAGACUGAUAAUGAUGCGGUGAAGUAUGAAGAGACCAGAAGAAGUUUAAUGAGACAUCCAAAUGACGAAGUACAAAACGAGUUGAAGCUGUCCAUGUGUAGAAAUGCUGGUGAAGGGCCGUCUCGUGUGGGGAAGAGGAAGAUCUCAUGGCAGGACCCAGUAGCAUUGAGAGUUUGAAGUGCCUUUUCGUAAGCUGGAGGCUAUCCAAUCAUCAAGGUAAGUAGAGAACUUGCUCAGCCUGUAAUGUCGGCUUUCAUUUGCCAUAGCUUUACUCAUUUUCUGGGAUAAAUACUUAAUACUUACUGAAAAGCACUGCUCAAGAUGGCCAAACUAGAACUAAUUGGUUUCUGUCUAGUUUAGGAUUAUACCAUAUAGUUUGCUUUAGUUUCUGCUUGAGCUCCAUAGCUUCUAUUGCUCGAUUAUGUAAAAAAGGACGAUAAGUCUGGACGCGCUUAUAUAUGGAUAGCACUAGAGUUCAGAUCCA